CACGUAGGAGACAAGCGUUAUCCGGAUUUACUGGGUGUAAAGCGCGUGCAGGCGGUAGGAUAAGUUGGAUGUGAAAGCUCCUGGCUUAACUGGGAGAGGUCGUUCAAGACUGUCUUACUAGAGUGCAGCAGAGGGGAGUGGAAUUCCGAGUGUAGCGGUAAAAUGCAUAGAUAUUCGGAAGAACACCAGUGGCGAAGGCGGCUCUCUGGGCUGCAACUGACGCUCAGACGCGAAAGCUAGGGUAGCGAAC
rnacentral:rRNA from 1 species